rnacentral:rRNA from 1 species
AGAGUUUGAUCCUGGCUCAGGAUGAACGCUAGCGGCAGGCUUAACACAUGCAAGUCGAGGGGCAGCGGGGUGUAGCAAUACACUGCCGGCGACCGGCGCACGGGUGCGUAACGCGUAUGCAACCUACCCAUAACAGGGGCAUAACACUGAGAAAUUGGUACUAAUUCCCCAUAACAUUCGAAGAGGCAUCUCUUUGGGUUGAAAACUCCGGUGGUUAUGGAUGGGCAUGCGUUGUAUUAGCUAGUUUGG